rnacentral:snoRNA from 1 species
CCAGUGGGCACCCGGGAGGUCACUCUCCCCGGGCUCUGUCCAAGUGCCAUUGGGGAGCACAGGGCUCUACUCUGUGACGUACAGUCCCUUCCCACGACGUUGGAGAUGAAGCUGGGCCUUGGGUCUGUGCCUGCAUAUUCCUGCAACUUCCCAGAGUCCUGUGGAAACACACCAUGCAGGAAACAGCC